AUUAGAGUUUGAUCAUGGCUCAGGAUGAACGCUAGCGGCAGGCCUAACACAUGCAAGUCGAGGGGCAGCGAGGUGUAGCAAUACACUGUCGGCGACCGGCGCACGGGUGCGUAACGCGUAUACAAUUUGCCUUAUACAGGGAGAUAGCCCGGAGAAAUUCGGAUUAAUAUCGCAUAGAAUUUUCCAGUCGCAUGAUUGGGAUCUUAAAGCUACGGCGGUAUAGGAUGGGCAUGCGUGACAUUAGUUAGUUGGUGAGGUAACGGCUCACCAAGACAGCGAUGUCUAGGGGUUCUGAGAGGAUUUUCCCCCACACUGGUACUGAGACACGGACCAGACUCCUACGGGAGGCAGCAGUAAGGAAUAUUGGGCAAUGGACGAAAGUCUGACCCAGCCAUGCCGCGUGCAGGAUGACAGCCCUAUGGGUCGUAAACUGCUUUUAUAUGGGAAGAAACUCCACUAUGUAUAGUGGACUGACGGUACCAUACGAAUAAGGAUCGGCUAACUCCGUGCCAGCAGCCGCGGUAAUACGGAGGAUCCAAGCGUUAUCCGGAUUUAUUGGGUUUAAAGGGUGCGCAGGCGGACUAAUAAGUCAGUGGUGAAAUCUCUCGGCUUAACCGAGAAACUGCCGUUGAUACUGCUAUUCUUGAGUAUAGUUGAGGUGAGCGGAAUGUGUGGUGUAGCGGUGAAAUGCAUAGAUAUCACACAGAACACCAAUUGCGAAGGCAGCUCACUAAACUAUUACUGACGCUAAGGCACGAAAGCGUGGGGAGCGAACAGGAUUAGAUACCCUGGUAGUCCACGCUGUAAACGAUGAUUACUCGAUGUUGGCGAUAUAAUGUCAGCGUCCUAGCGAAAGCGUUAAGUAAUCCACCUGGGGAGUACGAUCGCAAGAUUGAAACUCAAAGGAAUUGACGGGGGCCCGCACAAGCGGUGGAGCAUGUGGUUUAAUUCGAUGAUACGCGAGGAACCUUACCAGGGCUUAAAUGCAAAAUGACAGAUCUGGAAACAGAUCUUCCUUCGGGCAGAUUGCAAGGUGCUGCAUGGUUGUCGUCAGCUCGUGCUGUGAAGUGUCGGGUUAAGUCCCAUAACGAGCGCAACCCCUAUCUUUAGUUGCCAGCGAGUAAUGUCGGGGACUCUAAGGAAACUGCCCGUGCAAACGGUGAGGAAGGUGGGGAUGACGUCAAAUCAUCACGGCCCUUACGUCCUGGGCUACACACGUGCUACAAUGGCCGGUACAGAGGGCAGCUACCCCGCGAGGGGAUGCAGAUCUCGAAAGCCGGUCUCAGUUCGGAUCGAAGUCUGCAACUCGACUUCGUGAAGCUGGAAUCGCUAGUAAUCGCGCAUCAGCCAUGGCGCGGUGAAUACGUUCCCGGGCCUUGUACACACCGCCCGUCAAGCCAUGGAAGCUGGGGGUGCCUGAAGUCGGUGACCGCAAGGAGCUGCCUAGGGUAAAACUAGUGACUGGGGCUAAGUCGUACAAGGUAGCCGUAAAUC
rnacentral:rRNA from 1 species